CUGCUUAUCUUAUUUGUUGACAGACUUUCCCCCAAAUUGCUCCCAAAAGUUAGCGGCGGACGGGUGAGUAACACGUGGGCAACCUGCCUAUAAGACUGGGAUAACUUCGGGAAACCGGAGCUAAUACCGGAUAACAUAUGAGACCACAUGGUCUCAUAUUAAAAGAUGGCUUUUAGCUAUCACUUAUAGAUGGGCCCGCGGCGCAUUAGCUAGUUGGUGAGGUAAUGGCUCACCAAGGCGACGAUGCGUAGCCGACCUGAGAGGGUGAUCGGCCACACUGGGACUGAGACACGGCCCAGACUCCUACGGGAGGCAGCAGUAGGGAAUCUUCCGCAAUGGACGAAAGUCUGACGGAGCAACGCCGCGUGAGCGAAGAAGGUCUUCGGAUCGUAAAGCUCUGUUGUUAGGGAAGAACAAGUACCGUUCAAAUAGGGCGGUACCUUGACGGUACCUAACCAGAAAGCCACGGCUAACUACGUGCCAGCAGCCGCGGUAAUACGUAGGUGGCAAGCGUUAUCCGGAAUUAUUGGGCGUAAAGCGCGCGCAGGCGGUCCUUUAAGUCUGAUGUGAAAGCCCACGGCUCAACCGUGGAGGGUCAUUGGAAACUGGGGGACUUGAGUGCAGAAGAGGAGAGCGGAAUUCCACGUGUAGCGGUGAAAUGCGUAGAGAUGUGGAGGAACACCAGUGGCGAAGGCGGCUCUCUGGUCUGUAACUGACGCUGAGGCGCGAAAGCGUGGGGAGCGAACAGGAUUAGAUACCCUGGUAGUCCACGCCGUAAACGAUGAGUGCUAAGUGUUAGAGGGUUUCCGCCCUUUAGUGCUGCAGCAAACGCAUUAAGCACUCCGCCUGGGGAGUACGGUCGCAAGACUGAAACUCAAAGGAAUUGACGGGGGCCCGCACAAGCGGUGGAGCAUGUGGUUUAAUUCGAAGCAACGCGAAGAACCUUACCAGGUCUUGACAUCCCGAGACAACUCUAGAGAUAGAGCUUUCCCCUUCGGGGGACACGGUGACAGGUGGGGGCAUGGUUGUCGUCAGCUCGUGCCGGGAAGAUGUUUGGGUUAAGUCCCGCAACGAGCGCAACCCUUGAUCUUAGUUGCAGGAAUUAAGUUGGGCACUCUAAGGUGACUGCCGUGCAAACCCGGGGGGAGAGGGGGGGGAUGACGGCAAAUCAUCAUGCCCCUUAUGACCUGGGUUACCACGGGCUUAAAUGGGGUGGGACAAAGGGCAGGAAAACCCGGGAGGUUAAGCCAAUCCCUAAAACCUUUUU
rnacentral:rRNA from 1 species